UAAAAGUCGUAACAAGGUUUCCGUAGGUGAACCUGCGGAAGGAUCAUUAUUGAAUAAACUUGAUGUGGUUGAGCUGACUCUUUCGGGAGUAUGUGCUCGCUCGUCAUCUUUAUCUUUCCACCUGUGCACUUUUUGUAGAUUUGGAUGUAACUGUCCGAGGCAACUCGGUUGGGAGGAAUGCUAUCUUUGAUGGCUUUCCUUGUAUGUCCAAGUCUAUGUCUUCAUAUACUCCAAGUAUGUAACAGAAUGUAUCACUGGGCCUUGUGCCUAUAAACUAUAUACAACUUUCAGCAACGGAUCUCUUGGCUCUCGCAUCGAUGAAGAACGCAGCGAAAUGCGAUAAGUAAUGUGAAUUGCAGAAUUCAGUGAAUCAUCGAAUCUUUGAACGCACCUUGCGCCCCUUGGUAUUCCGAGGGGCAUGCCUGUUUGAGUGUCAUUAAAUUCUCAACCUUACUAGCUUUUGCGAAGUAAUGGCUUGGACUUGGGGGUCUUUUGCUGGUUUCGAAAGAGAUCKGCUCCCCUUAAAUGUAUUAGCCGGUGCCCCGCGUGGACUGUCUAUUGGUGUGAUAAUUAUCUACGCCGUUAGAUGUCUGCUAUUAAAUGGGAUGUGCUGCUUCUAAUCGUCCUCAGGACAAUUAUUGACCAUUUGACCUCAAAUCAGGUAGGACUACCCGCUGAACUUAAGCAUAUCAAUAAGCGGAGGAAAAGAAACUAACAAGGAUUCCCCUAGUAACUGCGAGUGAAGCGGGAAAAGCUCAAAUUUAAAAGCUGGCAGUCUUUGAUUGUCCGCGUUGUAAUCUAGAGAAGUGUUACCCGCGUUGGACCGUGUACAAGUCUCCUGGAAUGGAGCGUCAUAGAGGGUGACAAUCCCGUCUUUGACACGGACUCCCAAGGCUUUGUGGUGCGCUCUCAAAGAGUCGCGUUGUUUGGGAAUGCAGCGCAAAAUGGGUGGUAAAUUCCAUCUAAAGCUAAAUAUUGGCGAGAGACCGAUAGCGAACAAGUACCGUGAGGGAAAGAUGAAAAGAACUUUGGAAAGAGAGUUAAACAGUACGUGAAAUUGCUGAAAGGGAAACGCUUGAAGUCAGUCGCGUCGUCCGGAGAUCAACCUUGCUUUUGCUGGGCGUACUCUCCGGUUGACGGGCCAGCA
rnacentral:sRNA from 1 species